rnacentral:tRNA from 1 species
GCCAUGGCGCAGUGGCAGAGCCUCUGUCUUGUAAGCAGAAAAGUCCAGGUUUGAUCCCUGGUAUAUCCC